UUCGUCUUCCCCCGUCGAGACAGUCUGGAUGGAACAGAUGGACGGCAGCCACAUUAUAUACAUGGUGCAGUGUCAGCAGCUUGCAGAGUCAUCAUCAGGACUUGCAUGCCAACAGCAUCAAGAGAUGUGAGGAGAGGAGCACCCCUGUGAAGUACAGAAACGUCCGUCUGUGAGAGACUCUGCGUGGGACUUUCUUGUGAUGCUGAGAGGAAACCACCGAGUGAGGGAGGGAAUGAGGGAUGGAGAUGGAGAAGUAACUGCUCAGCGAUAGCUACAACAACAUGAAAAAGCCAGAGGCCAGUGUGCGCAGACGAGGAACCGUCUCCAGAAAGCGAGCACGCCAGCCAUCCUGCCGGCCGAGUGCUGUGAUGUUCA